GACGAACGCUGGCGGCGUGCUUAACACAUGCAAGUCGAACGGUAAGGCCCUUCGGGGUACACGAGUGGCGAACGGGUGAGUAACACGUGGGUGAUCUGCCCUGCACUUCGGGAUAAGCCUGGGAAACUGGGUCUAAUACCGGAUAGGACUCCGGACUGCAUGGUCUGGGGUGGAAAGCUUUUGCGGUGUGGGAUGGGCCCGCGGCCUAUCAGCUUGUUGGUGGGGUGAUGGCCUACCAGGGCGACGACGGGUAGCCGGCCUGAGAGGGUGACCGGCCACACUGGGACUGAGAUACGGCGCAGACUCCUACGGGAGGCAGGAGUGGGGAAUAUUGCACAAUGGGCGCAAGCCUGAUGCAGCGACGCCGCGUGAGGGAUGACGGCCUUCGGGUUGUAAACCUCUUUCAGCAUCGACGAAGCGAGAGUGACGGUAGGUGCAGAAGAAGGACCGGCCAACUACGUGCCAGCCGCCGCAGUAA
rnacentral:rRNA from 1 species